ACGAAUCCCUUCGGGGAUUAGUGGCGGACGGGUGAGUAGCGCGUGAGAAUCUGCCUUCAGGUUCGGGACAACCAUUGGAAACGGUGGCUAAUACCGAAUGUGCCGCAACGUGAAAGAUUUAUCGCCUGAAGAUGAGCUCGCGUCCGAUUAGCUAGUUGGUGAGGUAAAAGCUCACCAAGGCGACGAUCGGUAGCUGGUCUGAGAGGAUGACCAGCCACACUGGGACUGAGACACGGCCCAGACUCCUACGGGAGGCAGCAGUGGGGAAUUUUCCGCAAUGGGCGCAAGCCUGACGGAGCAAGACCGCGUGAGGGAGGAAGGCUCUUGGGUUGUAAACCUCUUUUCUCAGGGAAGAAGAAAGUGACGGUACCUGAGGAAUCAGCCUCGGCUAACUCCGUGCCAGCAGCCGCGGUAAUACGGAGGAGGCAAGCGUUAUCCGGAAUUAUUGGGCGUAAAGCGUCCGUAGGUGAUUAUGUAAGUCUGCUGUCAAAGCACAGGGCUUAACCCUGUAAAGGCAGUGGAAACUACAAGACUCGAGUGCGGUAGGGGCAGAGGGAAUUCCCAGUGUAGCGGUGAAAUGCGUAGAGAUUGGGAAGAACACCUGUGGCGAAAGCGCUCUGCUGGACCGCAACUGACACUCAGGGACGAAAGCUAGGGGAGCGAAUGGGAUUAGAUACCCCAGUAGUCCUAGCCGUA
rnacentral:rRNA from 1 species